rnacentral:lncRNA from 1 species
CAUACUUUCACUACCUACCCUACAAGGAUGCUAUUUGGAAAACAAAUUACAAUCCUUAAAGUGUUACAGAAGUGUUAGUUAAUAUAAUCAUCAUCCUGUGUAUAUGCAAACCCUCCAGUAUAUUCAAAGACAAAGUUUCUGGAUUUGACUACUCAGUCUUGGCAUCUGCCUUCCAACCUGAUGCCCCAGGAAAAGGGAGUCUGAUCCAAGACUUUUCUCUUGUAAUGUGCACUGAGAAUCCAAAGAACAACUCACAUGCAUAUUGCAUGACAAGGUUUACUGAAUACAUUAACGUGUAAUGCUUCAUUGAGUUCGGUGUUGUCUGUCCCCUUUUUCACUGAUGGAAAAACAAGCUCAGAGAGCUCUGGAUUUAUGACUCUGUCAAGUACUAGAUACCAACACAAACAUGAUACUGAUACUUGCCCUAAAUUGAGCUUUCAUUCUUAUGCAUGGAAAUUGGGAAGGAAGAUGGCACUAUAUGUGCAGAGAGGCAGGAGAAAGGAAUGAUCAUCAGAGAGCAAUAGGAAGUUAUUUCCAGAUUUCAGGCUUCACAAGGAGAAAGGUCUCUUGCUACUUUGGAGAUGAAAAAAAAAUGGAGGAACAGAGGAAAUGUUCAGUAUCCUAUCUCUCCUGGAACUUCAUACAAAUAAUUAGCAUGUAUUUCAGUGAAUAUUUAGCUGGAAUUCCUAGGACUACACAACAAUGGUUUUGCCAUCAACAUGAAAGACAUGUCUGGGAACUUUAAUCAAAAACAAUGAAUCUCUCAAAUGGAUGUGCUUGGGCUUCUUUCUCUCCUUUCUUCCUUCUUUCUUUCCUGGAUUAUGUAUGUACAUUAUAAAUAACAUGUGUACUAUAUAGAACAUGGUUCCCCAUCUGGGUUUCUGCUUUGCAGCAUGAAAUCCCACUAUCUGAAAUCUGCCAAGCCAGAGGGAGAUGUAUCCCUCAGGUUCAUUUGCCUCAGAUUAUUCAUUCCAACUGGUACAACGAUGCAACAGAUACAACUACUUUGUAUCUGAGUCCAGCUCAUAUGUAGAGUGCCACUCAUUCAAGCAGCUUUGGGUGCUAUAUGUCUUUCCUCCAUUAUCCCUUUAAAUGC